CCCUUAGAUGUUCUGGGCCGCACGCGCGCUACACUGAUACGUUCAACAAGUUCCUUGGCCGAAAGGUCUGGGUAAUCUUUGAAACCGUAUCGUGAUGGGGAUAGAACAUUGCAAUUAUUGUUCUUCAACGAGGAAUGCCUAGUAAGCGCGAGUCAUCAACUCGCGUUGAUUACGUCCCUGCCCUUUGUACACACCGCCCGUCGCACCUACCGAUUGAAUGGUCCGGUGAAGCCUCCGGAUUGGCGCGCACCUCGGUGCCGCCGAGAAGUUGGCUAAACCUUACCAUUUAGAGGAAGGUGAAGUCGUAACA
rnacentral:rRNA from 1 species